rnacentral:lncRNA from 1 species
UAAGAAUCUGACAAAACACUAUUAGAUUAGUGUCUGCCUAUGAUCUUCUUUGGGGUUUAAUAACAACCAAACUUGGAAACAAAACAGUAGAAGAGAAAGUAAAAGAGCUUAACUGUUUUACUGCUGCUACUUCUUUGCCUCCAAGAUCCGAUCUUAUCUUCAAUUCUUUCAGUGACUCUAUCCAGAGGUAUGAUGUAAUGGAAUCUGUCAGCGAUGGUUUCUCCACACAAACAUACUACUGUAAACAAAACAAAAAAGAGAGGAAAUAUUACUUGUAUGAUGAAAACAGGUGAAAGAAUAAAACUUGGAACUCAAAAAAAAAUCUCUGUUAAUUCCCUAUGUCUAUUCGUCAUGAACACAAUCGUUCAAUCUGUAAUCCUUUACUCUCA